rnacentral:rRNA from 1 species
CCUACGGGAGGCAGCAGUAAGGAAUAUUGGACAAUGGACGCAAGUCUGAUCCAGCCAUGCCGCGUGAAGGAUUAAGGCCCUCUGGGUUGUAAACUUCUUUUAUAGGGGACGAAAAAAGGGCUUUCUAGCUCGACUGACGGUACCCUAUGAAUAAGCACCGGCUAACUCCGUGCCAGCAGCCGCGGUAAUACGGAGGGUGCAAGCGUUAUCCGGAUUCACUGGGUUUAAAGGGUGCGUAGGCGGGCAGUUAAGUCAGUGGUGAAAUCUUCGAGCUCAACUCGGAAACUGCCAUUGAUACUAUCUGUCUUGAAUACUGUGGAGGUGAGCGGAAUAUGUCAUGUAGCGGUGAAAUGCUUAGAUAUGACAUAGAACACCGAUUGCGAAGGCAGCUCGCUACACAAAUAUUGACGCUGAGGCACGAAAGCGUGGGGGAUCAAACAGGAUUAGAUACCCUGGUAGUCCACGCCCUAAACCUAUGAUUACUCGACAUAUGCGAUACACUNUAUGUUGUUCUGNGCGAAGACAUUAAAGUUAAUUACCCACCCGUCGGGAACGGUACCGGACCCGCCGAAGGUUAGUAAACGUAACGAAAGGAAAGUUAGUACGGGACGUAGAGGACGUUCGGCCGACGGACGGACCGACCGACGGGGAGGGUAGGGGUUAG